AACGCACAUUGCGCCCCUUGGUAUUCCAUGGGGCAUGCCUGUUCGAGCGUCAUUUGUACCUUCAAGCUUUGCUUGGUGAUGGGUGUUUGUUCUAUCCUUUUGUGACUGGACUCGCCUUAAAAUUAUUGGCAGCCGGCAUAUUGGCCUUUGGAGCGCAGCACAUUUUGCGAUCUAAGCCUGUAUACUGGUAUCCAUUAAGCCUUAUCAUCACUUUUGACCUCGGAUCAGGUAGGGAUACCCGCUGAACUUAA
rnacentral:misc_RNA from 1 species